rnacentral:ncRNA from 1 species
CAUAAACACAAAGGUUUGGUCCUAGCCUUACUGUUAACUUUUAGCAGGAUUACACAUGCAAGUAUCCGCAUUCCAGUGAGGACGCCCUUCAAAUCAUCAGCUGAUAAGAAGGAGCGGGUAUCAAGCACACUAUUACAUGUAGCUCAAGACGCCUUGCCUAGCCACACCCCCACGGGAUACAGCAGUGAUAAAAAUUAAGCCAUGAACGAAAGUUUGACUAAGCCAUACUAAUCUAGGGUUGGUAAAUUUCGUGCCAGCCACCGCGGCCAUACGAUUAACCCGAGUUAACAGACACACGGCGUAAAGCGUGUUUAGAAACCCCACCCAAUAAAGUUAAAUCUAAACUAUGCCGUAGAAAGCUCUAGUUCAGACAAAAAUAAACCACGAAGGUGACUUUAAACACUUUGACACACGAUAGCUGAGACACAAACUGGGAUUAGAUACCCCACUAUGCUCAGUCCUAAACCUAAGUAGUUAUUUCAACAAUGCUACUCGCCAGAGUACUACUAGCAACAGCUUAAAACUCAAAGGACUUGGCGGUGCUUUAUAUCCCUCUAGAGGAGCCUGUUCUGUAAUCGAUAAACCCCGAUAAACCUCACCAGCCCUUGCUAAUGCAGCCUAUAUACCGCCAUCUUCAGCGAACCCUAAGAAGGAGUCACAGUAAGCCAAACCAUACAACAUAAAAACGUUAGGUCAAGGUGUAGCCCAUGAGCUGGGAAGAAAUGGGCUACAUUUUCUAAUAUAGAACAUAACGAAACUUUUCGUGAAACCGAAAACGGAAGGAGGAUUUAGUAGUAAAUUAAGAAUAGAGAGCUUAAUUGAAUAAGGCCAUGAAGCACGCACACACCGCCCGUCACCCUCCUCAAGUACCCAAAUACAAUUAACUAACUUUAUUAACAAAUGUAUCCAUAUACAAGAGGAGAUAAGUCGUAACAAGGUAAGCGUACUGGAAAGUGCGCUUGGACAAU